rnacentral:rRNA from 1 species
UACGGAGGGUGCGAGCGUUGUCCGGAAUCACUGGGCGUAAAGGGCGCGUAGGCGGCGCGGGAAGUCAUCGGUGAAAGUUCAGGGCUCAACUCUGAAUCGGCCGGUGAUACUCUCGUGCUUGAGCACUGUAGAGGCAGGUGGAAUUCCGGGUGUAGCGGUGGAAUGCGCAGAUAUCAGGAGGAACACCGAUGGCGAAGGCGGCUCACUGGCCCGGUACUGACGCUGAGGUGCGAAAGCGUGGGGAGCGAACAGG